rnacentral:rRNA from 1 species
UGUAAGCGUAUACCAAAGUUGUUGCAGUUAAAACGCUCGUAGUCGGACUUUGGCAGUUCCGGAUGUGUGCACGUCGUGUGCGCACUUCGCGGGGAUUGCUUUUGUGGUCUUGCGUAGGAUGAGGCACUUUUAUUAGUGAACGUCCUCACGCAACCACUUUUUACUGUGAGAAAAUCAGAGUGCUCAAAGCAGGCAUUUGCCGUGAAUGUAUUAGCAUGGAAUAAUAGAAUAGGACUUGGUUCUAUUUUGUUGGUUUGUUGGGACUGAGUAAUGAUUAAGAGGGACAGUUGGGGGCAUUUGUAUUUCGGUGCUAGAGGUGAAAUUCUUAGAUUACCGAAAGACAGACUGCUGCGAAAGCGUCUGCCAAGGAUGUUUUCAUUGA